rnacentral:tRNA from 1 species
GCCUGGCUAGCUCAGUCGGUAGAGCAUGAGACUCUUGAUCUCAGGGUCGUGGGUUUGAGCACCACGUCGGGCA